CCGGUCACUAAAGGGGUUCUCUCCAGGGGGACACCUUUGCGCAGGGCCGUAUACUGGAGACUUCCCAGGGGAGAUAGGGUGAACUCCCCAGGGGCCAGAGGAACUAAUCCUCAGGUAAGCCAUAAAGAAAUUCUAAUAGUCUGAAAAGACCGACAUGUCCUAGGGAUAGGACAGGAAAAAAAAGACUGGGGAAGGAGGGGUAGGAGGUGGUACUUAUACAGCUUAAUAAUUAUUCCUGUCCAAUGGGGAUAGGGAGGAGCUACCCAA